UACGGAGGAUCCAAGCGUUAUCCGGAAUCAUUGGGUUUAAAGGGUCCGUAGGCGGUUUGGUAAGUCAGUGGUGAAAGCCCCGCAGCUCAACUGUGGAACGGCCAUUGAUACUGCCAGACUUGAAUUACAAGGAAGUAACUAGAAUAUGUAGUGUAGCGGUGAAAUGCUUAGAUAUUACAUGGAAUACCAAUUGCGAAGGCAGGUUACUACUUGUGGAUUGACGCUGAUGGACGAAAGCGUGGGGAGCGAACAGGAUUAGAUACCCGGGUAGU
rnacentral:rRNA from 1 species